UUGGCUUUACUCACAGCAUAGCACGGGAUCGAGUCGCCAUCCACAGACUGCGUGUCUGUCUAUUGCAUAAGGACGUUACUACAAAAACGAGAAGCAGGCAAAAAAGGGUAUUCCCUUUGAUUCAGGCAGGAUGACAUAAUUCCACGAGCCUGCAGCUCUGGCAGGAUUUAUUGCACACUUUACCAGAGGGGGGGGGGGGNNNNNNNNNNNNNNNNNNNNNNNNNNNNNNNNNNNNNNNNNNNNNNNNNNNACACACACAGGGACAGAGUAGAGAUCACACACUCCAACAGACCCAAGUAUAUACACACACACACAGGACUGAGAGUAGAGAUCACACACUCAAACAGACCCAAGUGUAUAUACACACACACAGGGACAGAGUAGAGAUCACACACUCCAACAGACCCAAGUACAUAUACACACACAGGACUGAGAGUAGAGAUCACACACUCCAACAGACCCAAGUAUAUACACACACACACACACACACAUCAUGUCCUAUGUUGUUCCCACUUGGACACAUUGUGACUUGGUAACACUUCAUUGUGUGAUUAUUUGCCUAUACUAAAGACUAAGGAAAUACAGAAAGCCAACACUGAAAACACAGCGCCACUGGUGUCACUGUUGGCUGUGGGCUUUUGGACUCAGCCAUAGCAUGAAUUCCUGAAGGAUUGUGGGAUUGUAUACCUCACCAACUACAUUCCACCCCUGGCCAGGCUGUGUUCAUGUGUUGCCAUUAAACACCUCACUUCAGUACAAAUCCUUUGAAAUACCAAAAUGAUAUGUUGUUCUAGUAAUGGCAAUGAAUUCUACAUUAGAUAAAUAAAUUGUUGUGUGUACAGUAUGUUGUGUGUACAGUAUGUUGUGUGUACAGUAUGUUGUGUAUACAGUAUGUUGUGUAUACAGUAUGUUGUGUGUACAGUAUGUUGUGUGUACAGUAUGUUGUGUAUACAGUAUCUCUCAUUUUUGCUUCUAUACUCACCUCGUUUUGCCUUCUCCGACAGCGUCCCUAGAGAAGAAAACAGUAAAGCCUGGUGUAGACCAGUCAGGCAUGCUGGAGAGAGCCAAGGAGCAUUACCGGGAUGUGAAGAAGGUUCUGAACAUCCCAAUGGAGUCAGUAGUGUUUCAAAAGAGAAAGAACCGAGAGGAGAGGAUGAGAACUCUUUUCAAUGCUCUAAUGGCCUCAAAGUCCGACGCUGGUCUGUCCUCACUCCUUACCUCUCUGAAGAGUGGGCUGAAGGAGCCCAAAUCCACCACUGGUCUCUGGAGAAGUUCUGUCUCCUGGUCCUCUCCAUGUCACCCAAUCAGCUGCUUCGACCGGCCAUGCAGGAAGCACUGCUCUUCCUCACGGAGAACGUGCUGCUGUUGUUGCCGCGGCAACUCAAACAGUGGUACCAGUACCUGAAGCUCCCCUUCCCCACCACUGCAACCGCCUCCUAAAAAAAGGAUCCUCCUACUUGCACUGGUGCUCUCUCUGUUCUUCACUACCUGUCUACAAUGUGGGCCUGGGACUUACAGGCCUGGGUUGAGUCUGAAAUGGUUCCUUAUCCUCAACAUAGACCCGUAAUAUUGGGGAAUAUAGUCAUUUCAGACAGCCCUGGGUUCUUGGUGGGAUAUCCAGUGUUGGGGGCUCAGGUCAAGAUGAUCUGUUAACUGGUUGAUACAUUAAAAUGUGUUAAAAAAGAUUAGAGAAAAACUAAACUGAUGUUUUUUUAGUAAUGUUUUUGAAUGUUAAGUAGGGUUGUGAAGCCCCAUAUUUUAUUUAUUUAUAUAUAUAUAUAUAUGAGAUAACUAGCCCAGUUACUCUAGCUACAGACCAUGAGAGUGGAACAUAAAUAUUUAAGUAUCUAGCAGAACAUGGGAAUAACCACAGAACCACUGGUAUGUCUUCAUCUACAAUGCCUCAGGUUUUGCUGCUCUUACACACACACGAAACACAGAGGGGAAGCUUUCAGCUAGUGCCUCACUACCUGACCAUCUGAGUGUCACUCACAGUGACGAGAGAAGGGGAGAGAGGGUUGAGAAACAGCGUGAGGGUAGAGAGAGAGAGGUUGUGAUUCCCCUACAGAGAACCAUGGCAGUGUUCUAUAUCCUCUCCUGCUUUGUCAAAAUGUUUUAAUAUCUGCAUCAAUCUGGGUCAAUCUCAUCCUGUCAUGGUGUUAGUAGAUUCAGCUUCAAUAUGGAGAUAAUGAUCUCCCAUGGGGAGGGAGAGAGCGAUUGGUAGAGAAAAAGGGACAAGAAAGUCCAUCACAAAACUUUGCAAGCUGCACAAAACAAAUCAUGUUUUUGAUUGGUCUGGCCCCCCUUGAACUCGUUAUAAAGUACUACAGCCACACAUUUCAUUGAGUUUACAGCUGGUUUUCUCAUGCAUUGCACACACACUUGCCUCUGAGCUCUACUGUCUGCUUGUUGUUUGGUGGAACAGUGGUUGUGGGCCUUAAUGAAUUCCUUUUGCUUCUUUCCUGUCGCAUAUUCUUCUGAGUUAAAUGUGAGGGUUAUCUGAGGUGAAACAAGAGAAGACAACUUUCAUAAGAGAUAGAAUUAAGCAGGCCAAAACUGUUGAGUUUACACCGAGUCCAUUGCUUACAGAUGUCUGAUUUAGCACCUGAUUAGAUGUAAAGGAGGAAAAUCAGAGGCAUCUUAGCCCUAAAUACCAAUAGUUGUGCAUUAUGUUAGUAGUGGGUGUUGAGAGGACAGGCAGUUUCUGUUCUGGUCACUAGGUGGCAGCAGAGGAUCUCGGUCAGUGUCUCCAUAAAGAUGGUCUUACUGCUGUCAGGAGGUUAAAAACACCAAAUGGAAAACCAAGUCAGCUGUGAAAUGUGUACAGUACCAGUCAAGAGUUUGUUCACACCUCCUCAUUCAAGGGUUUUUCUGUAUUUGUACUGUUUUCUACAUUGUUGAAUACUAGUGAAGACAUAACUAUGAAAUAACACAGUAACCAAAGAAGUGUUAAACCAAUCAAUAUAUUUUAUAUUUGGAGAUUCUUCAAAGUAGCCACCCUUUGCAUUCUCUCAACCUGCUUCAUGAGGUAGUCACCUGGAAUGCCUGGAAUGUUCUCAACUAGCCUACCUGGUUAAAUAAAGGUGUUCUCAACUAGCCUACCUGGUUAAAUAAAGGUGUUCUCAACUAGCCUACCUGGUUAAAUAAAGGUGUUCUCAACUGGCCUACCUGGUUAAAUAAAGGUGUUCUCAACUAGCCUACCUGGUUAAAUAAAGGUGAAAUAAAAAA
rnacentral:lncRNA from 13 species